UGUUCGUAGGUGAAUUGCCUCCUGCUUCAUCUGAACCUGCAGACCAGUCAUCAUGCGAGUCCUUCUCAUCCUUUUGGUCGGCCUGCUCGUCGUGGGGGAGGGGACGUGCGUGUUUCUUGAUUUGUAUAAGGAAAGGUCAAUGCCGUCUGAGCGUUCUCUCUCAAUAGGAGAUAGGAAAGCCCCUGUCAUCGUAAAGCCAGCUCCGCCUAGUGGAUCGCGACUUGGCCGUAAACGUCGUUAGGCCAGGAAGACUUCCUUGCCGUCACCAGCGACCUGACUUAGUCGUGGAGGUCACCACAAUUCAGUCAGCUGAUUGAUGUAAUUUUUUUCCUGCUCUUUCUACUUAUUUUUUUUUCUCGAAAAGCAAGAACGAUGUUCAAGAAAAUAAUCUCUUAAAACAUUUGUUUCUACAAAGUGAACUGUUUUUAUCCACUAUGAUACUGCCAGGGAUUCUUUCAAAAUAUCUUGAUAAUAAAAACGUCAGAUGUU